AGCUCCAGUAGCGUAUAUUAAAGUUGUUGCAGUUAAAAAGCUCGUAGUUGGAUUUCUGGUCUGGUGCGCUUGGCCCGCCACGGUUACGUGUGUGAGUGCUGAUGCGCGCCUGCCAUCCUGCCAGAGAACGUGUCUACCCUUCACGGGGCCGGACACGCCAUCUGGCACUUUUACUUUGAAAAAAUCGGAGUGUUCAAAGCAGGCUCUUGCUGUGAACGUCCCAGCAUGGAAUAAUAAGAUAGGACCUUUCUCCUAUUUUGUUGGUUUCUAGGAAAGAGGUAAUGAUUGAUAGGGAUAGUUGGGGGUGCUGCUAUUCAACGGCCAGAGGUGAAAUUCUUGGAUUCGUUGAGGAGCAACUACUGCGAAAGCAUUCACCAAGGAUGUCUUCUUUAAUCAAGAA
rnacentral:rRNA from 1 species